rnacentral:sRNA from 1 species
UUUUUCUCCCCGCAGGGGCUCAGUCCCAGCCUGGUUUCAUGAUUCUUGUGAGAGACAGUUGCUGUGUCCCAUCCUCAGCCCAUAGGGAAUGUCCCUGAGCCAGGCUGGCACAAGAGAGUUUAUAUUGGUGGACUCAUCUGCCGCGCUUUGGUCCUGGAGCCCCUGAGAUGGAGCAGUCUUUGCUUUAUCUGUUCCCUGGUCUGUCCCGCUCAUGGCCACCAUGCUGGGCAGAAAGCUGAUGGAUUGGGACCAGGACAUGCAUGGUUCACCCCCUCCCCACGUUCGUCCUGUGUGUUUUUGCUUCUCUCACUCUCUUUCCUUUUCGUGGGGGUUGCUUAUCCUCAGGAGAGGACCCCCUGGCUGGGGACCAGAACGACCAUGACAUGGAUUCCAUAGCUGGUGUCCUGAAGCUUUACUUCCGGGGGCUGGAACACCCUCUCUUCCCCAAGGACAUCUUUCAUGACCUGAUGGCCUGUGUCACAAUGGACAACCUGCAGGAGAGAGCUCUGCACAUCCGGAAAGUCCUCUUGGUCCUGCCCAAAACCACUCUGAUUAUCAUGAGAUACCUCUUUGCCUUCCUCAAUCAUUUAUCACAGUUCAGUGAAGAGAACAUGAUGGACCCCUACAACCUCGCCAUCUGCUUCGGGCCCUCGCUAAUGUCAGUGCCAGAGGGCCACGACCAGGUGUCCUGCCAAGCCCACGUGAAUGAGCUGAUC